AGAGAUAGAGAGAGAGAGAGAGUCACAGGGAGGAGCAAAGCAGAGAUACACUAACUGAAGAAGGGUAUUUACCUGGUACACUACUUCAUUUGAUCAAAAGCAUCACUGAUGAUCUUGAUGAUUGGGGAGCAAGUUGGUGUAAUAAUACUUAUCAAUUCAUUGAAAGCCUAUCACCUGUUUGAUCAUUAUCCUACAUGUUUCUACUUCUUUCUUCAGCAGAUGGUACAUGAGAUGGCAAUGGUUUCAGCUAUUCAGGAAGCUCAGAAGGAG